GAAAUGCGAUAAGUAAUGUGAAUUGCAGAAUUCAGUGAAUCAUCGAAUCUUUGAACGCACAUUGCGCCCUCUGGUAUUCCGGAGGGCAUGCCUGUUUGAGUGUCAUUAAUCUCUCACAAGACCUUCUGGUCUUGCUGAUGUUGGGAGCUGCGACCCCCCGGGGACGCUCUCCUCAAAUGCAUUGGUGCGGCCCGCCGCCCGGUUACACAACGUUCUAGGUUCGUCCAACUCGUUGAAAGCCGAGCAAACAUGGUGCAGCACCUUAAGCCCGCCCCGAGCCCCGAGCUCUCGGCAUAACUUCAUUUAUUGACCUCAGAUCAGGUAGGAAUACGCGCUGAACUUAA
rnacentral:misc_RNA from 1 species